GACGAACGCUGGCGGCGUGGAUUAGGCAUGCAAGUCGAACGGUAUCAUCCUUUCGGGGGUGAGAGAGUGGCGAACUGGUGAGUAACACGUAGGUUAUCUACCCUCAAGACGGGGACAACCCAGGGAAACUUGGGCUAAUACCGGAUGUGAGCAACUUUUAGUUGUUUGAAAGGUGGCGUAAGCUGUCGCUUGGGGAUGAGCCUGCGUCCUAUUAGUUAGUUGGUGAGGUAACGGCUCACCUAGGCAAUGAUAGGUAGGCGGCCUUAACGGGUGGUCGCCCACACUGGGAUUGAGAUACGGCCCAGACUCCUACGGGAGGCAGCAGUCGAGAAUAGUCUACAAUGGUCGGAAGACUGAUAGUGCGACGCCGCGUGAACGAUGAAUCCCUUCGGGUGUAAAGUUCUUUUAUAUGUGAGCAGUGCUUCUUAUAUUAACAGUAUGGGGAGAGAGAUAUUAGCAUAUGAAUAAGCAACGGCUAACUCCGUGCCAGCAGCCGCGGUAAAAUACCG
rnacentral:rRNA from 1 species